rnacentral:misc_RNA from 1 species
UCAAUUUUCGAGGAGGAAGAUGGAAAGCAGCGCACUGUCGCUGGCUUUCUCUGCAUGUGCACGUCUUUGCUUUUCAUCAACCUCUCUCACAUAUACACACCUGUGCACCCAUUGUAGGUCCUCGAAAGGGGAUCUAUGUUUCUUCAUAUCACACCCCUCGUAUGUUCAUAGAAUGUAUCAAAGACUGUCGACCAGGCUUGGUCCUGAUUGACAGGUCGAAUAAACUAUA